GAGGAUCAUGGUGCGAAGCCAGCCUGGGCAAGAAAAUUCUGUGAGACUGUUAGCUCGAAUUAACCACUCAAGAACAGGAAGUGGUGCUGUGGCUUAAGUGGUAGAGUGCUAGCCUUGAGUACAAAGAGGCUCAGAGACAGCACCCAGGCCCUGAG